rnacentral:sRNA from 1 species
AAACAAACUUUUAACAAUGGAUCUCUAGGCUCCUGCAUCGAUGAAGAACGCAGUGAAGUGCGAAAAGUAAUGCGAUUUGCAUGCUCUGUGAGUCAUCGAAUCUUUGAACGCAUAUGGCACCUUUUGGUCUUUACUGAAAGGUAUGCCUGUUUGAGAAUCAUUUAUCCCUUUGAUCCUUGUGAUCGCAGAUUGCUGAUCCCCUGGUCAAGACAUGGACCUUCAUCACUGAUCGUCUUGAAUCUAUGCACGGAUUGUUCGUGACAAAGAGGCGCACUUGUUGCGCUGUUGCUGUUGAUCGAUCAAUCCAUCCCUCACCAAUGAUCUCAAAUCAGGCAAGACUACCCGCUGAACUUAA